rnacentral:tRNA from 1 species
GCCCAGAUGGCGGAAUUGGUAGACGCACUAGACUCAAAAUCUAGCGUUCGCAAGGAUGUGCAGGUUCGAUUCCUGUUCUGGGCACAA